ACGGGUGAGUAACACGUGGGCAACCUGCCCUUGAGACUGGGAUAACUUCGGGAAACCGGAGCUAAUACCGGAUAAUAUAAGGAACCUCCUGGUUCCUUGUUGAAAGAUGGUUUCGGCUAUCACUUAAGGAUGGGCCCGCGGCGCAUUAGCUAGUUGGUGAGGUAACGGCUCACCAAGGCGACGAUGCGUAGCCGACCUGAGAGGGUGAUCGGCCACACUGGGACUGAGACACGGCCCAGACUCCUACGGGAGGCAGCAGUAGGGAAUCUUCCACAAUGGACGAAAGUCUGAUGGAGCAACGCCGCGUGAGUGAUGAAGGCCUUCGGGUCGUAAAGCUCUGUUGUUAGGGAAGAACAAGUGCGAGAGUAACUGCUCGCACCUUGACGGUACCUAACCAGAAAGCCACGGCUAACUACGUGCCAGCAGCCGCGGUAAUACGUAGGUGGCAAGCGUUAUCCGGAAUUAUUGGGCGUAAAGCGCGCGCAGGUGGUUUCUUAAGUCUGAUGUGAAAGCCCACGGCUCAACCGUGGAGGGUCAUUGGAAACUGGGGAACUUGAGUGCAGAAGAGGAAAGUGGAAUUCCAA
rnacentral:rRNA from 1 species